AGUGAACGCUGGCGGUAGGCCUAACACAUGCAAGUCGAACGGCAGCACAGUAAGAGCUUGCUCUUACGGGUGGCGAGUGGCGGACGGGUGAGGAAUACAUCGGAAUCUACUUUUUCGUGGAGGAUAACGUAGGGAAACUUACGCUAAUACCGCAUACGACCUACGGGUGAAAGCAGGGGAUCUUCGGACCUUGCGCGAUUGAAUGAGCCGAUGUCGGAUUAGCUGGUUGGCGGGGUAAAGGCCCACCAAGGCGACGAUCCGUAGCUGGUCUGAGAGGAUGAUCAGCCACACUGGAACUGAGACACGGUCCAGACUCCUACGGGAGGCAGCAGUGGGGAAUAUUGGACAAUGGGCGCAAGCCUGAUCCAGCCAUACCGCGUGGGUGAAGAAGGCCUUCGGGUUGUAAAGCCCUUUUGUUGGGAAAGAAAAGCAGCAGGUUAAUACCCCGCUGUUCUGACGGUACCCAAAGAAUAAGCACCGGCUAACUUCGUG
rnacentral:rRNA from 1 species